AAGAGAUGGCGACCGGCGCACGGGUGAGUAACACGUAUCCAACCUGCCGAUAACUCCGGAAUAGCCUUUCGAAAGAAAGAUUAAUACCGGAUGGCAUACGAAUAUCGCAUGAUAUUUUUAUUAAAGAAUUUCGGUUAUCGAUGGGGAUGCGUUCCAUUAGUUUGUUGGCGGGGUAACGGCCCACUAAGACUACGAUGGAUAGGGGUUCUGAGAGGAAGGUCCCCCACAUUGGAACUGAGACACGGUCCAA
rnacentral:rRNA from 1 species